UGUGGGGCACUGUGGGGCAGCUAUAGGUCACUCAUGGGGCACUUGUGGGGCAGCUGUGGGGCAGCUAUAGGUCACUCAUGGGGCACUUGUGGGGCAGUUGUAGGUCACUCAUGGGGCACUUGUGGGGCACUUGUGGGGCAGCUAUAGGACACUCAUGGGGCACUUGUGGGGCAGCUAUAGGUCACUCAUGGGGCACUUGUGGGGCAGCUUGUGGGGCAGCUAUAGGUCACUCAUGGGGCACUUGUGGGGCACUUGUGGGGCAGGUGUCGAAGGCGGCGGCGGAGCUCCUUUCUUACUGCGAAGCCCACGCAGGCGAGGAUCCGCUGCUGGCGCCCGUCCCCACGGCCGAGAAUCCCUUCAGGGAGAAGAAGCUCUUCUGCGCCCUGCUCUGAGCACAGCCUGUGGGGCAGCCCCACACUUAUGGGGCGGCCUCGCACUUAUGGGGCGCAGUCGGACUUUGCGGGGCGGAAUCGGACUUGCGGGGUGGAAUCGGAUUUGUGGGGCUGACCGCAGAUGUGGGGCUGCGUUUGAUUCUGAGGGUCGUGUGGCACUUUGCGUUUCACUUAUGGGGCAGCCCCACACUUAUGGCGUGGGCUCACACUUAUGGGGCAGCCCCACACGUGUGGGACAACCCCACACUUAUGGGGCAGAGUCAGUCUUGUGGGGUGGAAUCGGACUUGUGGGGUGGAAUCAGACUUGUGGGGCGGAAUCAGACUUGUGGGGCUGACCAUAGAUGUGGGGCUGCGUUUGAUUGAGGGUCGUGUGGCACUUUGCGUUUCACUUAUGGGGCAGCCCCACACUUAUGGGGUGAAGUCACACUUAUGGGGCAGCCCCACAUGUAUGGGGCAGCCCCACACUUAUGGGGUGGGCUCACACUUAUGGGGCAGCCGCACACGUAUGGGGCAACCCCACACUUAUGGGGCAGAGUCGGACUUGUGGGGUGGAAUCGGACUUGUGGGGUGGAAUCAGACUUGUGGGGCUGACCAGAGAUGUGGGGCUGUGUUUGAUUCUGAGGGUCGUGAGUCACUGUGUUUCACUUAUGGGGCAGCCCCACACUUACGGGGUGGGCUCACACUUAUGGGGCAGCCCCACACUUAUGAGACGGAGUCAGACUUGUGGGGCAGAGUCAGACUUGUGGGGCUGACCAUAGAUGUGGGGCUGCAUCUGAUUCUGAGGAUUCCGCAUCACUUUGUGUUUCACUUAUGGGGCAGCCCCACACUUAUGGGGUGAAGUCACACUUACGGGGCAGGCCAAAGAGAUGUGGGGCAGGAGUUACACUUUGGGGGCAGAGCCACACUUGGGGGACCAGCCUCACAUUUGGGGUCUCAUCCCACAGUUUGGGAUCCUGCCCCACACUUAGGGGUCCCGCCCCACAUUUAGGGCUCUCACCCCACACUUUGGGGUCUCACCCCACACUUCUGGGGCUGCCCCACAUCUCGGGCACUGGAACCAAUAAAGCGUUGCUCACAGAGCUGAAAUGUGUGGGUCCCAACGUUCCGCCCCCGGGGUCUCUAUGGGUCCCUAUGGG
ensembl:lncRNA